CCCUUAUAACUGGCUCUCUUCAUGGUUCUCUUAAAAUUUAGGCCUCCCUUGCGAGACGAGAAUCUUCACCAUCUGAAUCAUGAGUGCCGGUGCCCGUCGUCAGUCCCUUCUCUCUCCGUUACUGGACCUGGAUCUGGAUCUCGAUCUGGACACUCAUUACCAGCUUGUGCAUCUCACUGCUGAUAUCAUGAUGCUACUUAACUAUCUUCGCAGCACCCGCUCUAGGAAUGGAGAUCCGGGGUUCCCCCCUCUUCUUCGAUACAGAAUCUGCCUACAGCAUCUACAGCAAUCUACAGCAAAUGACCUCGCACUCACCAGGCAGUACUGGCCAUUCUCUUCUACGGAAAGUAGCUAAGUCCAACGGAUCUGACGCACUGAAG
ensembl:lncRNA